rnacentral:rRNA from 1 species
GACGUAGGGCGCGAGCGUUGUCCGGAUUUAUUGGGCGUAAAGAGCUCGUAGGCGGCUUGUCGCGUCGGAUGUGAAAGCCCGGGGCUUAACUCCGGGUCUGCAUUCGAUACGGGCAGGCUAGAGUUCGGUAGGGGAGAUCGGAAUUCCUGGUGUAGCGGUGAAAUGCGCAGAUAUCAGGAGGAACACCGGUGGCGAAGGCGGAUCUCUGGGCCGUAACUGACGCUGAGGAGCGAAAGCAUGGGGAGCGAACAGG